ACAAAAUAUGAAGAACAAACCUUUGAAAAAGCUUACAUAUAGGCAUGACAGAUCCAUCACUACAAUUGACAGCAAUAUGAAUUUUGCUUCAAAGACCAUCAUAGUAACCUCCAUAAGUUAUGUGAGCUCUAGAAAUGGGAACUCCUCUUACUGUUGUAAUUGCUUCAUUGAAUUUUGUUGCAUGGUGAACCACUUGCUUG
rnacentral:misc_RNA from 1 species